rnacentral:rRNA from 1 species
CCCCAGGUCAGGCGGGACUACCCGCUGAGUCUAA